rnacentral:rRNA from 1 species
GCCGGCGGCCAUGGCGCGGGGGCCACACCCGUUCCCAUCCCGAACACGGUCGUUAAGCCCCGCAGCGCGGAUGGUACUGCCCGGGCGACCGGGUGGGAGAGUACGUCGCCGCCGGCC